UCCUGAAAGCCCAGAUCUCUUCAAAAGUGCCACAUAUCACCCAGACAAAUAAAAGCUGCAGAUGGUGGCGGGAUGGCAGCUGUUAAGACUGUGAGCACACUGGCCUCUGUAGAGCUUCUCAGCACAGUCUUUUAAUAGCAUUUUCCAUGCUGGUGGAAAGACCAUGAAAUGCCUUCAAGCCUUUUUGGGAGGAAAGCGGUAUUUUAAAGAAGUUAAAAGAUUCCAGGAAAGACUGAGCAAAUUGGUGCUGCUUGACAUUGGAAACUAAGGCCAGAUGCCAGAAGCCACAACCUUCAAACAAGCCCCCAUGACCCAGUUUUCAACAGGUUUGAUCCAGUUUAGAUACAGAGUCAACCCUCCAGAAAACCUCAAGAUCAUCAGUAUCUAAUUAUAAUAACAAAAAUCACACCUACCAGCACCAGUGACAGAUCCUACUGCACCCACUUAAGGGGUGGCCUUACAAACCUCCUUACCUUAGCCCCACAAAACCCUGACCAUGAGACCUAAUCAGGGGGAAGAUGCCCUUGGAACACAAGCUUCCCUUCUCUGUUCCUUCUCUGGCCAUUGAAUAAAUUACCUGCUUGCCAUCAAA